GUGAACGCUGGCGGUCGGCCUAACCCAUGCAAGUCGAACGGCAGCACAGUAAGAGCUUGCUCUUACGGGUGGCGAGUGGCGGACGGGUGAGGAAUACAUCGGAAUCUACUUUUUCGUGGGGGAUAACGUAGGGAAACUUACGCUAAUACCGCAUACGACCUACGGGUGAAAGCAGGGGAUCUUCGGACCUUGCGCGAUUGAAUGAGCCGAUGUCGGAUUAGCUAGUUGGCGGGGUAAAGGCCCACCAAGGCGACGAUCCGUAGCUGGUCUGAGAGGAUGAUCAGCCACACUGGAACUGAGACACGGUCCAGACUCCUACGGGAGGCAGCAGUGGGGAAUAGUGGACAAUGGGCGCAAGCCUGAUCCAGCCAUACCGCGUGGGUGAAGAAGGCCUUCGGGUUGUAAAGCCCUUUUGUGGGGAAAGAAAAGCAGCAGGUUAAUACCCCGCUGUUCUGACGGUACCCAAAGAAUAAGCACCGGCUAACUUCGUG
rnacentral:rRNA from 1 species